AUUGAACGCUGGCGGCAGGCCUAACACAUGCAAGUCGAACGAGUGGCGGACGGGUGAGUAAUGUCUGGGAAACUGCCUGAUGGAGGGGGAUAACUACUGGAAACGGUAGCUAAUACCGCAUACUAUCGGAUGUGCUCAGAUGGGAUUAGCUAGUAGGUGGGGUAAAGGCUCACCUAGGCGACGAUCCCUAGCUGGUCUGAGGGGGUGACCAGACACACUGGAACUGAGACACGGUCCAGACUCCUACGGGAGGCAGCAGUGGGGAAUAUUGCACAAUGGGCGCAAGCCUGAUGCAGCCAUGCCGCGGGUAUGAAGAAGGCCUUCGGGUUGUAGAGUACUUUCAGCGGGGAGGCGUUACCCGCAGAAGAAGCACCGGCUAACUCCGUGCCAGCAGCCGCGGUAAUUC
rnacentral:rRNA from 1 species